rnacentral:rRNA from 1 species
AACGAACGCUGGCGGCAUGCCUAACACAUGCAAGUCGAACGAAACCUUCGGGUCUUGUGGCGCACGGGUGCGUAACGCGUGGGAACCUGCCCUUAGGUUCGGAAUACCUCCCCGACAGGGGUGCUAAUACCGGAUAAUGUCUUCGGACCAAAGAUUUAUCGCCCUUGGAUGGGCCCGCGUUGGAUUAGCUAGUUGGUAGGGUAAAAGCCUACCAAGGCGACGAUCCGUAGCUGGUCUGAGAGGAUGAUCAGCCACACUGGGACUGAGACACGGCCCAGACUCCUACGGGAGGCAGCAGUGGGGGAUAGUGGACAAUGGGCGAAAGGAUGAUCCAGCAAGGCCGGGUGAGUGAUGAUGGCCUUAGGGUAGUAAAGCUCUUUUACCCGUGAUGAUAAUGACAGUACCGGGAGAAUAAGCCCCGGCUAACUCCGUG